CGUGGAUCGAUUUGUCUGGUUUAUUCCGAUAACGAGCGAGACUCUAGCCUACUAAAUAGUUGCGGGUAUUAUUAGUGUCCCAGUAGCUUCUUAGAGGGAUUUUCGGUGUUUAGCCGCACGAGAUUGAGCAAUAACAGGUCUGUGAUGCCCUUAGAUGUCCGAGGCUGCACGCGCGCUACACUGGCGAAAUCAGCGUGCUGUAUCCAUUCUCGAAAGGGAUUGGUAAACCCAUGAAAAUUUGCCGUGCUUGGGAUCGGAAAUUGCAAUUAUUUUCCGUGAACGAGGAAUUCCAAGUAAGUGCGAGUCAUCAACUCGCUCUG
rnacentral:rRNA from 1 species